GUAACGAUGAUGAUUCCCAAUCAAACAUUCCUUGAAAGGCCAAACAAAAUGAGUGACUAUUAGUACUGCCAGUUAUCAUGACUGAGUAC